UACGUAGGGUGCAAGCGUUAUCCGGAAUUAUUGGGCGUAAAGCGCUCGUAGGCGGUUUGUUGCGUCUGCUGUGAAAACUCGGGGCUCAACCCCCAGCCUGCAGUGGGUACGGGCAGACUAGAGUGCGGUAGGGGAGAGUGGAAUUCCUGGUGUAGCGGUGGAAUGCGCAGAUAUCAGGAGGAACACCAGUGGCGAAGGCAGAUCUCUGGGCCGUUACUGACGCUGAGGAGCGAAAGCGUGGGGAGCGAACAGG
rnacentral:rRNA from 1 species